GAGGAAUAAGCAUCGGCUAACUCCGUGCCAGCAGCCGCGGUAAUACGGGGGAUGCAAGCGUUAUCCGGAAUCAUUGGGCGUAAAGCGCCUGUAGGUGGUUUAAUAAGUCUGUUGUUAAAGACUAGGGCUUAACCCUAGGAAAGCAAUGGAAACUAAUAGACUAGAGUAUGGCAGGGGUAGAGGGAAUUUCUAGUGUAGCGGUGAAAUGCGUAGAUAUUAGAAAGAACACCAGUGGCGAAAGCGCUCUACUGGACCAUUACUGACACUCAGAGGCGAAAGCUAGGGUAGCAAAAGGGAUUAGAUACCCCUGUAGUCCUAGCCGUAAACGAUGGAUACUAGAUGUUGUGUUUUCUCACAGUGUCGCAGCUAACGCGUUAAGUAUCCCGCCUGGGGAGUACGCUCGCAAGGGUGAAACUCAAAGGAAUUGACGGGGGCCCGCACAAGCGGUGGAGCAUGUGGUUUAAUUCGAUGCAACGCGAAGAACCUUACCAGGGCUUGACAUACUGCAGAUCUUUUUGAGAAAGAAGAGUGCCUUCGGGAAUGCAGAUACAGGUGGUGCAUGGCUGUCGUCAGCUCGUGUCGUGAGGUGUUGGGUUAAGUCCCGCAACGAGCGCAACCCUUAUUUUUAGUUACUAAUUCGUUAGGUUCUCUAGAAAGACUGCCGGUGACAAACCGGAGGAAGGUGAGGAUGACGUCAAGUCAGCAUGCCCCUUAUGUCCUGGGCUACACACGUGCUACAAUGGUUAAGACAAAGAGUCGCGAGCUCGCGAGAGUCAGCUAAUCUCAUAAACUUAGCCUAAGUUCAGAUUGUAGGCUGCAACUCGCCUACAUGAAG
rnacentral:rRNA from 1 species